rnacentral:rRNA from 1 species
AUUGAACGCUGGCGGCACGCUUAACACAUGCAAGUCGAGCGGUAACAUGACUAGUAGCAAUACUAGUUGAUGACGAGCGGCGGACGGGUGAGUAACACGUAGGAACUUGCCCAAUAGAGGGGGACAACCAAGGGAAACUUUGGCUAAUACCGCAUAUACUCGCGAGAGGAAAGCUGCCAGCAAUGGUGGCGCUAUUGGAGAGGCCUGCGUCCGAUUAGUUAGUUGGUGAGGUAAAGGCUCAACAAGGCUGGGAUAGGUAACUGGUCUGAGAGGAAGACCAGUGACACUGGGAAUGAGACACGGCCCAGACUCCUACGGGAGGCAGCAGUGGGGAAUCUUGGACAAUGGGGGCAACCCUGAUCCAGCGGUGCCGCGUGAAUGAAGAAGGCCUUCGGGUCGUAAAGCUCUUUAGUUCGGGAGGAAGGUUAGUAGUUUAAGAGAUAACUAAUUUGACUGUACCGAAGGAAUAAGCACCGGCAAACUCUGUGCCAGCCGCCGCAGUAA